UUGUGGGGUGCUCGAGUGGCGAACGGGUGAGUAACACGUGAGUAACCUGCCCUUGACUUUGGGAUAACUUCAGGAAACUGGGGCUAAUACCGGAUAGGAGCUCCUGCUGCAUGGUGGGGGUUGGAAAGUUUCGGCGGUUGGGGAUGGACUCGCGGCUUAUCAGCUUGUUGGUGGGGUAGUGGCUUACCAAAGCUUUGACGGGUAGCCGGCCUGAGAGGGUGACCGGCCACAUUGGGACUGAGAUACGGCCCAGACUCCUACGGGAGGCAGCAGUGGGGAAUAUUGCACAAUGGGCGGAAGCCUGAUGCAGCAACGCCGAGUGCGGGAUGACGGCCUUCGGGUUGUAAACCGCUUUCGCCUGUGACGAAGCGUGAGUGACGGUAAUGGGUAAAGAAGCACCGGCUAACUACGUGCCAGCAGCCGCGGUGAUACGUAGGGUGCGAGCGUUGUCCGGAUUUAUUGGGCGUAAAGGGCUCGUAGGUGGUUGAUCGCGUCGGAAGUGUAAUCUUGGGGCUUAACCCUGAGCGUGCUUUCGAUACGGGUUGACUUGAGGAAGGUAGGGGAGAAUGGAAUUCCUGGUGGAGCGGUGGAAUGCGCAGAUAUCAGGAGGAACACCAGUGGCGAAGGCGGCUCUCUGGGCCUUUCCUGACGCUGAGGAGCGAAAGCGUGGGGAGCGAACAGGCUUAGAUACCCUGGUAGUCCACGCUGUAAACGGUGGGUACUAGGUGUGGGGUCCA
rnacentral:rRNA from 1 species